CUCUUUCCUCUUCUAACUCAAUGCUAACUCAACAAGUCUUCAACUCCUAUCCUCCUGCAAGAAAGAAAGCCUCCCUUACACGGGCUGACGAAGAACCCUUAAAACACUCUGCUCCCUUCAAGUAUCAGGCACACGCCAGGGGCCAAGUGAUCAAGCAUGGACCUAAACGGGAUUGUUUUCGUGGCACGCAUCAAGGGUGAGCUUCCUGAUUCUGUGAAAUGAACCACCGUGGAGACUGCAAACAACACCGAAAACGACACGUUUAUAACUUGGCCCCAAAUUUGAGCCGCUGGUGUCCCAUUCCUUCCUUGGACGACUUUGGCUGCUCUUGAGGCUGGGGUGAAGGGUAAAACGCCCAGGAUGCUCGGGAAUUGGGAAUGCCAGCAAUCGGCGCGUGGAUAGAGCUGUGAGGAAUGUUAAAGGCUGAAAUCACCUUCAGUGCAUCCUCCUUCACCGAGUCACAUAAAUUCAGCAGCUGCAAGACAAGACAGUGAGAAGUCAAGCUUUGGUGCUGCUUUGCUAUGGUGCAGGGUAUCUUUUCCCCUCCUCAUCCCAUCUCCCUCAGGGAUCAGUCUAUCUUCCUGUCUCCAUCUCUCCCUUUUAUCCUUUUCUCCUCCCUACUUUUCUCUGCAAGGUUUUGGCAUCAAACACACAAUGAUGCAUGUAUAGCUUACCUAAAAUCUUCUCUCUCUCAGACCUUGCCCCAAGACAGAUCCUAGGAUCAUGAAAAAGUAUUCAAUUUAUUCCUUCUCCAUUCUUAGAAACUGGUCCCUAAAUCUAGGAACUAUUAAGAGUUUCCCUAAAUUCACUCUAGGUGUCACUUCUCUGGUAUAAUCUCUCCCUACCCAUAAGUAAAAUAAAUAAAUAAAAGUGACUGAAUGAGGGGAAAAUCAAUCCUGGGGAAUCGACAAAAUCCCAGUCACCUGCCUGCAUUCACAAAGAAUGCCCCUGAUUUAUGGAAUUAACUACCUUGGUUUGUUGUAGCUUUCAAAGUUUUGUAAUGCCAACAUAGUCUAAAAGGGAGCUAGGUUGUAUGUAAACACACAAUAUGUAACAUCUAUCAGGUCAGAAAUACCUCUGAAAGUUGGAAACAUAGAAGAAAAACAAACAAAACCCAGGUUUCCUGGUAACAUAUCCCAAAAAUGGUCUGUAGGCUGCUGCUGGUAAUUUUCUUUGGAGGUAAGGCAAUAAACCAAAAGUAGCUCCUAAUUUAGGUAUAAUUUCAUAAAUAUAUAUACAUGUCUAUAUAGAUAUGUAUAUUUACAUAUGUAUAUAUUUUAAGACUUGAUGUUUUCUCAAUGGAGACCUGUAUAACCAAUGGAGGCAUCUGUUUUUCUAUACUUUAGCAAAAAAAAGGAGAAAUGAACUUCCUGCCUUUCCCAAUCUUCACUCUCAUUUCUAAAAGGUUCUCUAAUUACUUUUCCUUAAUUCCACUUCUUAAAGAAAAUCUAGAGAAAGCCUCAUUUUUUCCUUCCCACAGCUUUAAAAAUCAUGAUUUAUACAAAUGCAAGCCUUACACUCUCAUGUGGUAGGACUCUUAAAACUUGAACUGAUGAUGUGAAGACCACAAUUUCCUUUAAAACAUGAUAUGGCCAGAAUACCAUUUCUGUUUUGCUCAAGCAAACAGAAAAAAAUGCAAAGAAGGAAUGAAGAAAAAAAGUCAUUUCAAUACAUACUGGUAAAUAGAAUCUCUCAAGAAAGUUUAUCUUCCCAAUUUGCUGUUUCAUAUGUGUAUUUUUCAAUGAACACUAAAUAGUGCAGUUUGUGGUAAAGAAUCAGA